GUUACGUUGAUAUUACUUUUAGAGAGAAAUAAGGUCUUGAUUUUGAGGAGGAAGUUCUGUAAAAAGAAGGAGAGGAAGUCGUUGGAAAAUAAGAGAGAAAACGAAGAAGAGGCAAAGGCUUGACGGAAAACGGACAGCUGCAAGUAUCGGCUGUAACAGUCCACAAAUCAGAGAGAAAUACAAACCCAGUAAGGUGUGAAGCCUUAAACAUUCAAAUCUUGUCCAACCAAGUUGAGGUAAGUACAUUAUGAACUAUUUAUGUUGUUUAAGCAUGCCCAUGAAUUAUGUUAUGUGGUCCCUCAUGUUAUGUUAUGUUAUGUUCACGCAAAUUUCGGGACCGGAGCUCGGUAGCGCUACGCACGAGGGUUCAUGCCCCCGUAGUUGGUGAUUAUGAAUGAGGAGAUCGGAGCGUGGACGUGGAGUGUGGUGGAUAUUUGAGGAUAACUUUUAAUAGUCAAAAUGAUGUUUUGUAAUAUUUUCGUUAUUACACUCUUAUGAUAUAUGUACAGGAUUGCUACACCAUAUGUUCUUAAAGCUUAUUUAAGCUUAUGAAAAGAGCCAAGUCUCAUUUUAAAUUCGAAUUUCUCAGUAU